CCGGCUGAUGAGACUAAGGCGAAUGCGACUCCGUCCGUGCCCUCCAGCCUCUGCCUCCUCCGGGGUUGGGGCUGCAGGUGGAUCUGAAAUCUUAGUGGGGGUGUCUGAGACCUGACCCCUCACCGUAAGGUCAGACCGACAGCACUGGGGCCUUGCCUCCGUUCCCGCUGCUGUCCCCAGUUCUGGCUGCAGCCUACGGGGGGGCCCACAGGGGGGAAGCAAAGUAGGGCCGGACGGGAGCCUCUGAGCGCACCCUGGACCUGACA
rfam:Tupaia chinensis contig234004, whole genome shotgun sequence.